rnacentral:rRNA from 1 species
AUAACGACUCUUGGCAACGGAUAUCUUGGCUCUCGCAUCGAUGAAGAACGCAGCGAAAUGCGAUACCUGGUGUGAAUUGCAGAAUCCCGUGAAUCAUCGAGUCUUUGAACGCAAGUUGCGCCCGAGGCCAUUUGGUCUAGGGCACGCCUGCCUGGGUGUCACA